UAGUGGGCCGUGCGGUAGAUUCCAGGCUCGUCGAAUCAGGAGGGUCUCCGGCGUUGACGCAUGCGUGAUUCCUUGCGCGAGGAUGCGCCCCUCGCCAGUGAGCACAUUGUAGAGGAGGACCCAGUGACAAAUACAACUGACAUCCUCUAGAUCUCCAUCACUCAUCUGUUUCUGGGUCCAAGUGACAAGAGUCUCUGCAAGGCAGACCAGGUAUCCCUCUAAUAUCUACAUCCUCCAGCCCUACCUGGGGGAUCCCAAGGCUUUCCCAUCCCAGACUGCAUAUGUAUGAAGUCCGUCCUGCUUGUUCUGGGUCUUCCCUGGGGUUUUCUCCCAGUUGGAUAUGCCCAGAUUUUGUCCAGGAAAGCUGUCACCCAAUCAGAUGCCUGAACUACUUAAACUGUGUCCUGGGGAACGAAAAAAAAAAUGUGUGGUUGAACUCUAAGGUCUUUCGAGUUAUCGGUGCUCCUCACUCUGUCCCUAAGGGUGAGCCGAGACAUAAAAUGAAGGUAGUCAUUUCAGCCGCCUCACUGCCUCAAGCUAAUGACCAUAAGUAAUGUUUGGAAACUAGAUUGCUUGGUUUAAUCAUGAGGUUUGCCUUCAAGCUCAACCUCCUCUUCAUCUUGACAGUCCAGUGGCAAUCCACCUGUCGAUCUCCUGCUCCAUAUUAACCCCACUCAUGCACAGACCUAAUCUCAGCUCACUCCCAAAGCCUUGGCAGUUUAUUCAUCACAGUCGGCAGAAUUAAACAUUGACUUUGUCAGCAGCAGAGAAUUGUUCCAAUCCUUAUGUAGCCAUUUUUCUGGCAACAAAAAGAGGUAUUUUUAGCGAGACAGGGGGACAGGUUGUAAUAUCAUGGUUUGGGUUUUUUGUUUUUCCUGUAUUAUUUUGUAGAUUUUAUCCUCAUGUGUCAUGUUUUACUUUGUACUUCCUGUCUGUUUUGUCCCUUUCUGUCUUCUGUGUUUUGUCAGUUGAUCAACCCCUGUGUAUUUCAGUCGGUCCUGUGUUUGCUACAUUGUGUUACUUUAUAGCUUCUCUUGGUUUUUCCUUUGCCUGCCUUUUUGUCACCUGCCUUUUGAUUGCUUGCAUUUUGGAAUGUAGGUUUGCCAGAAAAACGGUUGGAAAAUGUCCCAGCAUCUCACUAAAAUAUCCACCUAACCUAAUAUCCUAAACUCAUAUCUUUUGUGCCUCAACCUAACCUAACCCUACCAGAUUCAACAUACAGUGUCAAUGUUUUGCAGAAACAUUUAUUCUGGGGAUUGGGUUGGUUUAUCAAUACACUGGUUUGGAAUGGUGGAUCUCAGACGCUUGGUGAAGUGGUCCUAAUAAACUCUUCACUGGAAA